GAUGAAAGUCUUUCUUAUUGGGAAUCAAGAUGGAUUGCUGUCUUGAAAUUACUGGACUGAACAAUGGCUUAAGGCUUUUCUAGAGGAGGACCCUGGGAACCCACACACUUUCUUGGAGGACAUAAUCUCUUCAUGGAGGUUUGAAAUAGGAUAAGGAAUGUUCUACCUUGCUGCUUCUACAUCUGCUUCAUUUAUCUCUUCUCUAAUUUUCCUAUCAAAUUUUUAGUGGAGUCUAGUUGUGUAUUUGAUCCCCAUAAAAGGAUCAUCCCUUCCAUGCACAGGGGAGGGUAAUCUAUGAAAAGAAAGGCUACUUUUCUCCCUUCUGUGAUUCCACCACCAGUCUAGGAAUAUCCUGGGAGAAUUGCAUCUCAAAGCUUUCCAUAAGCAGCCUACAUCCUGUCUAAGCAAAGGGAGAAGAAACACUUCCCACAUCCAGGGCUGUCCAAAAGAACUUUCUGUGAUGACAGAAAUGUUCUAUAUCUGCAUUAAUAUGGUAGCCACUAGCCACGUGUGGCUAGUGAAUAUUCGAAAUAUGGCUAGUGUGAUUGAGGAAGUAAAUUCUAAUUUUAUUUAAUUUUAAAUAAUUUAAAUAUAAAUAGCCACAUGUGGCUAGUGGCUGUUGUAUUGUAGAGCAUAGUACACACCUUUCUCGUGUUUUAGAACUUGCUGGGAGAGGUUUGAACAAGUCAUAUACAUGGCGUUCCAUGGUCUUCACUGUUCCACCUUGCCAUUGAACUUGUCUCCCAGAGGAAAAAGAAAUAUGGUAUUUUGGAGCUAAAUUGAAGAUGUUAAUUGAACAUCUACACAUUGAAGUAUGUAUUCUUGUGUAAAUGGGAUGAUCUCCUGGGAAUAGGACCUGCGAUUGAUGUUAGUGAUUACUGAUGAUGGGAAACUGGUAGUGCUGGUCCAGUUAACAUCUCUAGUAUGUUCCUGGUUAGAAUGAGUCAGCAAAGAUUAUUUUAUUCUAUUGUGCGGUUCAUUCUGUGUUACUUUAUUUUUGUAUUAUUAUGACUGCUAAGUGAUUAUUCUGUGUCUGUUUUUCAAAAUGCUCUAUGGUUUAUAUUUUUUAAAAGGUUAUGAAAUAAAAAGUAAUUAUAUGUAACU
rnacentral:lncRNA from 1 species